ensembl:lncRNA
AUGCCCUAAUCACCAGAACCUGUGAAUAUGUUGUGUAGCGAAGGGGAAUCAGGAUGGCAGAUGAAAUUACUGUAGUUAUCAGCUGACACUGAGAACAGGAGAUUGGCUGGGAUUACCCAGGGGGAUGCAAUUUAAUCACAAGCUUUCUUAAAAGUAGGAGGAGGCAGAAGAGAUGCAGAGAGAUUGUUGUGUCAGGAAGUCCAGUUCCUGCACUCCUGGCUUUGAAGAUGAGGGGAGCCCAGCCAAGGGAGCAAAUGACCUGUAAAAGUUGGAAAAGCUGUUUUUUCUGCUAUGGUCUGAAGGUUUACAUUGCCCUCAGCUUUGUAUGUUGAAAGCCUAACCUCCAAAGCUGAUGAUGGUCUGAGUAGCUGCGACCUUUGAGAGGUACUGAAGUCCUAAGGGUGGAACCCUAUUAAAUAAGAGAUUGGAGCCGUAUUAAAGAGGAUGUGGAGAGGUCCCUAGCCCCUUCCUGUCAUGUGAGAGCAUCAUGAGAAUUCUGCAACAUAGAAGAGCAGACCAGGUUGGAACCAUCUUCCUGGAUUUCCCAGUCCCCAGAACCAUAUGAAAUGCAUAUUGGAUAUCAGGACAUACAACGAAACAAGAGGGAUACAAGUGCACAGAGGGGAUGCAUGUGAGGAGACGGUGAGAAGACAGCCACUGGAAAACCAAGGAGAGAAGCUUCAAGAGGAACCAGACCUGUCCACACUUGAUCUGGGACUUCUAGCCUCCAGAAGCAUGAGAAAGCAAAUCUCUGUUAAAUCACCCAGUCUGUUAUAUUUUGAUAUGGCAGCCCUAGCCAAUCAAUACGUUCCCCUCUCCUUUCUUGUUCUUUUAAAAUUAAAUCUACAGUCUUACCACUGGGGAAUAUCAUGACAAAGCAUUUGAUAUCGGGAGUUGAUGAGUUGUUAUUUAAAGGACCCUCUAAUGUGCCAUUCCCUGGAAGUUGUUGAUUACAGUUAAAUUCACUUAGGGGAACAUUGAACGUGGGAUCAUGUUUGUGGCCUUCAUUCUAGCAAAGCUCUCCUAAGGGAGCUGUGAGACUUAAGCCCUGACUAAGGGCCUCCUUGGUGGCUCAGAUGGUAAAGAAUCUGCCUGCAAUGCAGGAGACCCGGGUUUGAUCCCUGGGUUGGGAAGAUCCCCUGGAGAAGGGAAUGGCUACCCACUCCAGUAUUCUUGCCUGGGGAAUUCCAUACACAGAGGAGCCUGAUGGACUAUAGUGCAUGGGGCUGCAAGAAGGCAUACACAUCUGAGAGACUAACACAGUAAGAGUUGUACCACCCAGAGCCCUGCAGUGGGGCCCUGGGAUGGUCUAAUAAUUGCUAACAUGACUCCUUCAAUAAUUAAUGAUUCAGUUGUUUUAAAUGCCUUAAUACAUAAAAGCUCACAUGUGGUGUCAGAUCUCCAAAUUAUAACACAAAAUAGAUGUUUUGCAGUAACUUAUAUGGAAUUAAUUCCAUCCUAGAGUUCUUGUAGAAAUUAGAAGUCAUUUAAAGACUGAGCUCUGAUGGUUAUGUGUCACUAGACUCCCUCUGUGGAACCAUUUCCUUGUAAAUUUUUGUAAUCCAUUUGUAUUCUGUACACAUGUGGUCUCUUGACGGCUUUGGUGGUUCUUAAUUGCACUUCUCAUAGGCAAUCCCAAUGGUAGGUUCCUUUCAACUAAACUAGUAGUGAUGUGCCAUCAAGCACAAAAACAAAAACAAACAAACAGAAAAAAAAACUGGUUGAUUUAAUUAUUAAUGGUAAAUGUCCUUCUAGCUUCUUCCAAGAAAGCGAAAGCACAUCACUUGACUAAUAAGCCUUUUCAGUAAUGAAAUAUAAUUUUACUUGGUCAAGUUAUUCUCCUAAAGUUUUAGUUCUUAUUUAUGGAUUCUUAAUCUCAGGUGCUUGGGAUUGGCUUUAUCACCCUCUUCAUUUUCUGGAGUUCUACUAUUGAUCUCCCAAAGAACUUGUGCCUUUUAAGGGUUUUUGUUUUAAUUAUUCUCCAUAUUUCUCACUCGUGUCCCUCUUCACUUUUUGAAAAUGUUCCAAAGUAAUUUUUUUAAAAAAAUCUAUUUCCCAGAUUUAUUGAGAUGUAAUUGACAUACAAUUGUAUAAUUUUAAUAUAUACAAUGUAAAGAUUUUAUAUAUGUAUAUAUUGCAAAAUGAUUACCACAAUAAAGUAGUUAACACAUCCAUCACCUCACAUAAUUACAAUGUCUUGUGUGUAUGAUCAGGGUUUAAUUUAUUCUCUUGGCAACUCUCAAAUAUGCAUCACAGUAUUAUUAACUGUGCUUGCCAUGUUGUACAGUAUAGCCC